GACGAACGCUGGCGGCGUGCUUAACACAUGCAAGUCGAACGGAAAGGCCCUGCUUUUGUGGGGUGCUCGAGUGGCGAACGGGUGAGUAACACGUGAGUAACCUGCCCUUGACUUUGGGAUAACUUCAGGAAACUGGGGCUAAUACCGGAUAGGAGCUCCUGCUGCAUGGUGGGGGUUGGAAAGUUUCGGCGGUUGGGGAUGGACUCGCGGCUUAUCAGCUUGUUGGUGGGGUAGUGGCUUACCAAGGCUUUGACGGGUAGCCGGCCUGAGAGGGUGACCGGCAACAUUGGACCUGGGAUCCGGCCCGGACUCCAACGGGGGCAGGAGGUGGGGAUAAUGCCAAAAGGGGCGAAGGCCGAAUGAGCCACCGCCGGUGGGGGAAGGCCGCCCUCGGGUUGUAAACCGCUUUCGCCUGUGACGAGGCGUGAGUGACGGUAAUGGGUAAAGAAGCACCGGCUAACUACGUG
rnacentral:rRNA from 1 species